rnacentral:rRNA from 1 species
CCUACGGGCGGCAGCAGUGGGGAAUAUUGGACAAUGGGGGCAACCCUGAUCCAGCCAUGCCGCGUGUGUGAAGAAGGCCCUCGGGUUGUAAAGCACUUUCAGUGAGGAAGAACGCCUGGUGGUUAAUACCCAUCAGGAAAGACAUCACUCACAGAAGAAGCACCGGCUAACUCCGUGCCAGCAGCCGCGGUGAUACGGAGGGUGCGAGCGUUAAUCGGAAUUACUGGGCGUAAAGCGCGCGUAGGUGGCUUGAUAAGCCGGUUGUGAAAGCCCCGGGCUCAACCUGGGAACGGCAUCCGGAACUGUCAAGCUAGAGUGCAGGAGAGGAAGGUAGAAUUCCCGGUGUAGCGGUGAAAUGCGUAGAGAUCGGGAGGAAUACCAGUGGCGAAGGCGGCCUUCUGGACUGACACUGACACUGAGGUGCGAAAGCGUGGGUAGCAAACAGGAUUAGAUACCCUAGUAGUC